rnacentral:rRNA from 1 species
CUGCUGCCUUCCGUAGGAGUUUGGGCCGUGUCUCAGUCCCAAUGUGGCCGUUCACCCUCUCAGGCCGGCUACUGAUCGUCGCUUUGGUGGGCCGUUACCCCNCCAACUGGCUAAUCAGACGCGGAUCCAUCGUAUACCACCGGAGUUUUUCACACUGUUCCAUGCGGAACCGUGCGCUUAUGCGGUAUUAGCACCUAUUUCUAAGUGUUAUCCCCCUGUAUACGGCAGGUUAUCCACGCGUUACUCACCCGUCCGCCACUAAU